AGAGUUUGAUCCUGGCUCAGGACGAACGCUGGCGGCGUGCCUAAUACAUGCAAGUAGAACGCUGAAGAGAGGAGCUUGCUCUUCUUGGAUGAGUUGCGAACGGGUGAGUAACGCGUAGGUAACCUGCCUUGUAGCGGGGGAUAACUAUUGGAAACGAUAGCUAAUACCGCAUAACAAUGGAUGACACAUGUCAUUUAUUUGAAAGGGGCAAUUGCUCCACUACAAGAUGGACCUGCGUUGUAUUAGCUAGUAGGUGAGGUAACGGCUCACCUAGGCGACGAUACAUAGCCGACCUGAGAGGGUGAUCGGCCACACUGGGACUGAGACACGGCCCAGACUCCUACGGGAGGCAGCAGUAGGGAAUCUUCGGCAAUGGGGGCAACCCUGACCGAGCAACGCCGCGUGAGUGAAGAAGGUUUUCGGAUCGUAAAGCUCUGUUGUAAGUCAAGAACGAGUGUGAGAGUGGAAAGUUCACACUGUGACGGUAACUUACCAGAAAGGGACGGCUAACUACGUGCCAGCAGCCGCGGUAAUACGUAGGUCCCGAGCGUUGUCCGGAUUUAUUGGGCGUAAAGCGAGCGCAGGCGGUUUGAUAAGUCUGAAGUUAAAGGCUGUGGCUCAACCAUAGUUCGCUUUGGAAACUGUCAAACUUGAGUGCAGAAGGGGAGAGUGGAAUUCCAUGUGUAGCGGUGAAAUGCGUAGAUAUAUGGAGGAACACCGGUGGCGAAAGCGGCUCUCUGGUCUGUAACUGACGCUGAGGCUCGAAAGCGUGGGGAGCGAACAGGAUUAGAUACCCUGGUAGUCCACGCCGUAAACGAUGAGUGCUAGGUGUUGGAUCCUUUCCGGGAUUCAGUGCCGCAGCUAACGCAUUAAGCACUCCGCCUGGGGAGUACGACCGCAAGGUUGAAACUCAAAGGAAUUGACGGGGGCCCGCAC
rnacentral:rRNA from 1 species